rnacentral:RNase_P_RNA from 1 species
AAAGCAGGCCAGGCAGUCGCGGCCUCCUGAUGUCGGGCUUCGGCCCUGACGGUGGGAGGGCGAGGAAAGUCCGGACUCCACAGGGCAGGGUGAUGGCUAACGGCCAUCCGUGGCGACACGCGGAACAGGGCAACAGAAAGCAGACCGCCGAUGGCCCGGCGCAAGCCGGGAUCAGGCAAGGGUGAAACGGUGCGGUAAGAGCGCACCGCGGCUGCGGCGACGCAGUCCGGCACGGCAACCUCCACCCGGAGCAAUUCCAAGUAGGCAGGCACGCAUCUUCGGAUGCAGGGCGGGGCCCCCGUCGCGCCUGCGGGUAGGAAGCUCGAGCGCGUCAGCAAUGGCGCGCCUAGAGGAAUGGCUGCCACGCGCGCGGCGCCCAUUGCGGCGUUGCGCGUGCACAGAAUCCGGCUUACCGGCCCGCUUUGCCG